CUGCAGCCCGAGUGGUGAUCGAUUUUAUUGAGCCUAAAGCGUCCGUAGCCGGACUAGUAAACCCUUGGGUAAAUUGGGCAGCUUAACUGUCCAAAUUCCGAGGGGACUGCUAGUCUUGGGACCGGGAGAGGUCAGAGGUACUCAAGGGGUAGGGGCUAAAUCCUGUAAUCCUUUGGGGACCACCAGUGGCGAAGGCGUCUGACUAGAACGGAUCCGACGGUAAGUGACGAAACCCUGGGGCGCGAACCGGAUUAGAUACCCGAGUAGUCC
rnacentral:rRNA from 1 species